rnacentral:rRNA from 1 species
AGUGAACGCUGGCGGCAGGCCUAACACAUGCAAGUCGAGCGGCAGCGCGUCCGACCACCCUCGGGUGGUCGGAUGGCGGCGAGCGGCGGACGGGUGAGGAAUGCAUCGGAAUCUGCCUCGUUGUGGGGGAUAACGUAGGGAAACUUACGCUAAUACCGCAUACGACCUACGGGUGAAAGUGGGGGACCUUCGGGCCUCACGCGAUGAGAUGAGCCGAUGCCGGAUUAGCUAGUUGGCGGGGUAAAGGCCCACCAAGGCGACGAUCCGUAGCUGGUCUGAGAGGAUGAUCAGCCACACUGGAACUGAGACACGGUCCAGACUCCUACGGGAGGCAGCAGUGGGGAAUAUUGGACAAUGGGGGCAACCCUGAUCCAGCCAUGCCGCGUGUGUGAAGAU